rnacentral:lncRNA from 1 species
AAACCGGAAGUGAACCGAGCAUGGUGUGGUUACAAGUCACUAUUCUGAAGACAAGUCCAUAAAGCAACUGCUUAUAAAUAACAAGCUGAGAAAGACUCCAAGAAGACUGUCCUCUUUGUCCUGUAAAACAUAACGUGGAAUGUUUCAUUUAAGUCCCACCAGUGGGUAUACCAGACAACUUUAGUGUGAAAGUUGGGAAAAAAAACUAUUCAUGCUUUACCUACCGGUAAGUCAUAACAAUUAAGUUCAUUCAUUGCUAGCUGCUACCAUCAAUCAAAUACAUGUAACUAGGCAAGUUAAAUUUGGCUUCGUAUUAAAUAUCUAAAACGAUGUAUGGCCUGCUGUCAAAAUGUUGGGUCAGAAUUCUUAAUGGUUUAAAGGUAUCAUCACAUCAUUGCUGGGAGGGGUUUGUGUGGUGCUGGCCAGGGGUGGUGAGUUGAUGGCCUUGUGGUUAGUCAGUGGGAGUCUGGAUCAAUAGGUCUGAAAUGGAGCCCAAGCUGGGGUCACUGUGUCAUGCUCUCAGUCAAUAUACUCUACUCUUGCAAUGCCUCUUUCCGCCCAACAGUGUAAAUGGCACUGGCCAAUUUGUGAGGGCAACCUGACAAUUGCUUGGGGUCCCCUGCAGUGGACCAGCAUCUCAUCAAGGAUGAGAAGAAAAACUCCUAGUCACUUCAUGUCCCAGAGACUCGAGUUGACCACCUGUGCUGAUUAUCCAUCUGGCUUCUCUGAUCCCUUAGGAAUGGAACUGGCUUCCAUGACCUGUAGCCAGUGAAAACAUCACUGGAAUGUACCCAUUCUUAGCCACAAAGACUGGAAGAGGGAUUUGGUGUCCUGUGUGAAACAAACCUUUCACCAUUUAAGUCCAGCAUCCUUCACUAGAUAUACCACAGAACGUUUAAGUGAGGGAGGGAAAGGGCAUUUGUUAACAUACACUUUUAGCAAGCAAUUAUACAACGGAUGACUGGAAAUGUGGAGUGGAAGAUUUGGGCCAGGGCAGUAGUGGAUUGUGGAAUUGGGUGGGGGAAAUCAGGGAAUGGUACCCCUUGAAUUUGGUUGUACUGUCAGGUUGAUUCAAGAAUCCACAGUGAAGGACAAUUCUUCAGUAGUGUUUUGUUUGGCACUUAGUGUUGUGGCCACCAAGGUGAGGAUUCAAAUCUCUGAAUGAGUUUUUGUUGUUAUAGGAAAAAGUCAGGUCAAAUACAACAACAGUUAUUUCUACCUGAUAUUCAGAUGACGUACCUCAUUUGGAUGCACGGCUUCUGAUUGGUUGUUUAAAAUUGUGGGAAUGAUAUUGCAUGCUUGUUUGGGAUGAUAUCACAUGUCUUAAGCCAUAAAAGAGUAGCAGUUGGGGUGGAAAGUAAGUUGUGGUUGGUGAUCUUUUCUCAUUUCAGAGACUUCUCCAUCCUUUUUGCAUUUCGCUCAAGAUGUUUGAGUGUAUUUCUUGCAGGAACUACAGUGCAAAGACUUUCUAGCUGUGACAAAGCAUCAUCUUCCAUGCA